UGGUGACACAGUGGUUAAAGUGUUUGGCUGCUAACCAAAAUGUCAGUGGUUCAAACCCACCACUCCA
rfam:Loxodonta africana unplaced genomic scaffold scaffold_41, whole genome shotgun sequence.